AACGAACGCUGGCGGCAUGCCUAACACAUGCAAGUCGAACGAGACCUUCGGGUCUAGUGGCGCACGGGUGCGUAACGCGUGGGAACCUGCCCUUAGGUUCGGAAUAACUCCCCGAAAGGGGUGCUAAUACCGGAUAAUGUCUUCGGACCAAAGAUUUAUCGCCUUUGGAUGGGCCCGCGUUGGAUUAGCUAGUUGGUAGGGUAAAAGCCUACCAAGGCGACGAUCCAUAGCUGGUCUGAGAGGAUGAUCAGCCACACUGGGACUGAGACACGGCCCAGACUCCUACGGGAGGCAGCAGUGGGGAAUAUUGGACAAUGGGCGAAAGCCUGAUCCAGCAAUGCCGCGUGAGUGAUGAAGGCCUUAGGGUUGUAAAGCUCUUUUAGCCGGGAUGAUAAUGACGGUACCGGGAGAAUAAGCUCCGGCUAACUCCGUG
rnacentral:rRNA from 1 species